AGCGGGCUGUGCGGUUGCGGGGAAGAAUAUUCUCUGAGGAAAGUCCGGGCUUCAAGCGGCAAGGGCGCCGGCUAACUACCGGUGAAGGCGACUUCAAGGAAAGUGCAACAGAAAUAAACCGCAGUCUUUUAGGCUGUAAGGAUGGAAAGGGGAGGUAAGGGCUCACCGAUCGCGCGGUAACGCGCGGUGCCAUGUAAACCCCGCCCGAAGCAAGAUUUAACCGAUGGAAUCCGCCGCAUUUGAAAUCGGUAUAAGUAUACAUCGCUCGAGCAUUCCGGCAACGGUCUGCCAAGAUAGAUAACCGCAUUAAACGACAGAACCCGGCUUAUAGGCCCGCCUU
rnacentral:RNase_P_RNA from 1 species